UUUACCCUUUCCUUGUAAUCCUA
rnacentral:snRNA from 1 species